rnacentral:tRNA from 2 species
GGCCCCGUCGUCUAGCCCGGUCUAGGACACUACCCUUUCACGGUAGGGACAUGGGUUCGAAUCCCAUCGGGGUCA